rnacentral:lncRNA from 1 species
UGUAUGCGGGUUGGGUUGGACCGGAUUUGGCCUAAUCGGUUACCCAACCCGUUCAAUAUUUAUUGGGUUGGGUUCAUUAAAGUAAAAUAUAUAAACAUUAUAACAUAUAUGCAUAGUUGUCAAUCAUAAAAUUAUCAAACAUGAAUUAAAUUCAAUGAUUUAGAAUUAAAUAUUACCUUUUUGGGGUAAAUUUUAGUGCGGAAGCAACGUGAUGUGUCGCUUUCAUCUGCAGCUUGAUUCCUUUUAUAAUAAAAUUCAUGCAACAUUAAAGUAUGUGAAGAUGAUUAUUAGAUUCUUUGUGAAUUAAAAUUGGAAGUAUACUAA